rnacentral:siRNA from 1 species
ACGACGUCGUUUUCGUAACG